UGGACAGAUUAUUGUAUUCGACUGUAUUCACGGGGUGAAACAUGGGAUUACACUAUUUUUAAAACGGAAAGUGAAUCAAUUAACAUAAUAGACUCCA
rnacentral:pre_miRNA from 1 species